UACAGAGGUCCCAAGCGUUGUUCGGAUUCAUUGGGCGUAAAGGGCGUGUAGGCGGUCUGUUAAGUCUGGCGUGAAAGCUCUCGGCUAAACCGGGAGAGGUCGUUGGAUACUGGCAGACUAGAGGACGGUAGAGGCGUGUGGAAUUCCGGGUGUAGUGGUGAAAUGCGUAGAGAUCCGGAGGAACACCAGUGGCGAAGGCGACACGCUGGGCCGUACCUGACGCUAAAGCGCGACAGCAUGGGGAGCAAACGGG
rnacentral:rRNA from 1 species